UACGUAGGGUGCAAGCGUUAAUCGGAAUUACUGGGCGUAAAGCGUGCGCAGGCGGUUUUGCAAGUUAGAUGUGAAAGCCCCGGGCUCAACCUGGGAACUGCAUUUGUGACUGCAUGGCUAGAGUACGGUAGAGGGGGAUGGAAUUCCGCGUGUAGCAGUGAAAUGCGUAGAUAUGCGGAGGAACACCGAUGGCGAAGGCAAUCCCCUGGACCUGUACUGACGCUCAUGCACGAAAGCGUGGGGAGCAAACAGG
rnacentral:rRNA from 1 species